GAUCCGUGCAUGUACCAUUUUUAUAAAUAGGAGUAAUUCUCGAUAUUUUUAAAACGUCUGGUACAAUACCUAUUUCAAAUGAUCAUUGUACAAUACCUAUUUCAAUAUCAUUGUAGUCCAUUUUUGAUAGCACCAAGGCCUCAGCAAGAUGCUUACGAAGUUUAAAAUCUGCGAAAUGUUUAAUUUUCCGCAAUGUACUAAGUGUGCCGUAGCAUGAAGAUGCAGUCAUUUUUACAUGCUUAUUCCAUUUUAAGUGUUCAUGAAAAUGUACUCCGAGCAGUUUUUUCGAAUCAACUCUUUUCAACGUAUUACCAGAUAUAUUUAAGCU